rnacentral:rRNA from 1 species
UAGGGAAUCUUCGGCAAUGGACGAAAGUCUGACCGAGCAACGCCGCGUGAGUGAAGAAGGUUUUCGGAUCGUAAAACUCUGUUGUUAGAGAAGAACAAGGACGUUAGUAACUGAACGUCCCCUGACGGUAUCUAACCAGAAAGCCACGGCUAACUACGUGCCAGCAGCCGCGGUAAUACGUAGGUGGCAAGCGUUGUCCGGAUUUAUUGGGCGUAAAGCGAGCGCAGGCGGUUUCUUAAGUCUGAUGUGAAAGCCCCCGGCUCAACCGGGGAGGGUCAUUGGAAACUGGGAGACUUGAGUGCAGAAGAGGAGAGUGGAAUUCCAUGUGUAGCGGUGAAAUGCGUAGAGAUCUGGAGGAAUACCGGGGGCGAAGGCGGCCCCCUGGACGAAGACUGACGCUCAGGUGCGAAAGCGUGGGGAGCAAACAGG